rnacentral:rRNA from 1 species
CCGCCAGACUCCUACGGGAGGCAGCAGUGAGGCCUCUUGGUCAAUGGGCGGGAGCCUGCCCCCGCCAAGUAGCGUGCGGGAAGAAGGUCCUGCGUCUUGUCCCCCUCUUUUGCCCGGGGCCAAAGGCGGCCCCGGGUGGCCGUCCGCGGGUACCUGGCGAAAAAGCAUCGGCUCACUCCGUGCCAGCAGCCGCGGUAAUACGGCGGAUGCGAGCGUUCUCCGGAUUUAUUGGGUUUAAAGGGGGCGCAGGCGGAGGGGCAAGUCAGCGGUCAAGUUGCGGGGCUCAACCCCGUACUGCCGUUGAAACUGCAUCCCUUGAGUGCGCGAGAAGUAUGCGGAAUGCGUGGUGUAGCGGUGAAAUGCAGAGAUAUCACGCAGAACUCCGAUUGCGAAGGCAGCAUACCGGCGCGCAACUGACGCUAAUGCACGAAAGCGUGGGUAUCGAACAGGAUUAGAUACCCGGGUA